AGCACCACAACAGGUGGAGCCUGCGGUUUAAUCGGACUCAACGCCGGGAAAACUCACCAGAUAAGACAGCUGAAUGAUAGUCGGGCUGAAGACUCUACUUGACUAGCUGAGAGGAGGUGCAUGGCCGUCGUCAGUUCGUACUGUGAAGCAUCCUGUUAAGUCAGGCAACAAGCGAGACCCACGCCAACAGUUGCCAGCUCGUCCUCCGGGAUGGUGGGGACACUGUUGGGACCGCCUCUGCUAAAGAGGAGGAAGGAAUGGGCAACGGUAGGUCAGCAUGCCCCGAAUUAUCUGGGCUACACGCGGGCUACAAUGGGUGGGACAAUGGGUAUCGACACCGAAAGGUGAAGGCAAUCUCCUAAACCCAUCCGUAGUUCGGAUUGUGGGCUGCAACUCGCCCACAUGAAGCUGGAAUCUGUAGUAAUCGUGUCUCAAAAUGGCACGGUGAAUAUGUCCCUGCUCCUU
rnacentral:rRNA from 1 species